UGCGUAGGCGGGUCUUUAAGUCAGGGGUGAAAUCCUGGAGCUCAACUCCAGAACUGCCUUUGAUACUGAAGAUCUUGAGUUCGGGAGAGGUGAGUGGAACUGCGAGUGUAGAGGUGAAAUUCGUAGAUAUUCGCAAGAACACCAGUGGCGAAGGCGGCUCACUGGCCCGGUACUGACGCUGAGGCACGAAAGCGUGGGGAGCAAACA
rnacentral:rRNA from 1 species